UAACACUCUGUUGAGUGUUAUUAGUCACAUCCGGGACAUUUGCUCGUGUGCGCGCUUGACCCAUCUGGAAUAUUUUUCAAAGACGCCAUUUUCUUAGACUCGCAAUGCGGAGCAUAUGAGGACGGAAAACAGCGAAAUUAAGUGUUUAAUCUUAAUCACAAUAUGUGUUUUGUAAUAUCAUAUAGUUUUAUAGCGAUAUUUAUGAAGUGUGUGCGCAUGAACUUUUUUUAAAGACAUUUCUUCCACUCGCGAGGCGGACCAGACGAGGAUGUUUCUUUUUAAAAGGGAAACGCCGAAAGUUAAGUGUUUUAUCUCAUUUGUAUGUAUUUCACAACAUCAUAUUGAUUUAUAGCGAUAUUUGUGUGAUGUGCACUCCUAAACCUUUCCUCAGAGAGAUAUUUUCCUUCACUCAUGAUGCGGAGAAGACGGGGAAAUUGGUUUUAUCAUGGAAAACACCGAAAAUGCAUUUGAAUGGCUAUGCAUUGAUGCGGAAGUUGCUUUUAACAGGGGAAACAUAAGAAAGAGACAUUUUCUUUCACUGGCGAUGCGGAAAACACUGAAUGGUUCAUGCUGGCUUAACAGAAAAAUCGAAAGGAGAUGAUGUGUUGAAGAAUAUGAAGCCACCAAUACAUUAAUUGGGAUGAGAAGAGCUUUGUUAGGACACAUACCAGAGACAUGGCUAAGCCACAAUUUCAUAUUUUAAGAUUAUUGAUUGUCAUGCUUAAUUUUUUUGAUUAUUAAACAGUAAUAAUAAAGAGUGAUCUCCUAAAAAUGUUUCAUAAAAAAUGCAUCAAAUGUAAGUUUUUGGUAUGCUUGCAUUGUCAUUUAUUUAUGUGCUGUCCCAUUUAUGUGCAAUCAUUUUGGUAGGAGUCCAACCAUAAGUGAACAGUAAAUGUUUACUUGUACUCAUGCCUUUCCACAGAUGCCAUGUAUGACAGUUUCUUCUGUUGAUUGUUCAAAAUAUCUAUUUUUGUGUUCCUCUGAAGACAGAAGGUCCUACAGGUGUGGAAGCACAUGAGUAUAAAUAAAUGAUGACAGAAUUAUCAGUUUUGGGUUAACUAAUCUUAUACUGUAAGUGAUACUUGUCCCUGACAUUUCACCUGAUAAAUGGAUGUGAAAUACCGUAUUGUCCCGAAUAUAAGACGACCCCCCUUUUUCCAGAUGUACCUUUUGGAAAAAGGCUUUUUGAAAACCAAAUCUUGUUUUCUUGUUUGUUUUUCUCUUUGUAAAACAAAUUUUUUUCUUAAAUUAUUUUCAAAUUGCAUAUUUUUCCUAUUUUAAUUUUUGUUUUGAAAGUAUGGUAAAUACUGGUAAAAUGUACCAACAAUGACAUUGAAAAAUAUACACUUUUUGAUAUACCAUAAAAAUAACAGGUAGCCCAUCUGAUUUAUAUAACAUUUAGGCUAUCCAUCUCAUAGUAGCCAACCAAAAUUUUAUUAACAGUAGAAGUGAAAUCUUAUUGUAGUCUUCAAAUCUGGGUACUGUCUUAUGUUUUAAAAUCACUUAGAGGAAGUUUGGUCCCAUCAGGCUAACAUGACAGUCACGACUGGUGCCGCUGUAAGCUUUUCUUUUUGUUUUGUUUUCGCCCGCGAUCUUUACAACACACAUUAUAUUACAUAUUUCAUUGCACACUCGUUAUAUGCGUUUUUGGCGCCACCUAUUGUUGUGGGUGUUUUACUGACAUGUCAAAGUCUAGACCCCGAAUAUAAGACGACCGCGUUUUUUCAGAUGUAUUUCCAAGAAAAAAAACAUCGUCUUAUAUUCGGGACAAUACGGUAAUCUUUUUUUUCUCCUAUUUUACAGGAGCACUUUUGUGAUGCUGCAGGUGGGAGUUGGGUGUCUUGCUUGGCUGAAAACUGCAGGGAAACGCAUCUCGUCUUGCUGAAAACUACUCUUUACAAGGAGGUCCAAACACCAUUAGCAGAGACUUUGUUCAGUUAGCAUUAACAUGCAUUCUGCCUGGAUGCUAAUGAAUAGGAUGCUGUUGUUUAAGCUGAUAAAUGUAAGCAUUAUAAACCUCAUGACAUUAAGUGUACAA